rnacentral:rRNA from 1 species
AACGAACGCUGGCGGCAUGCCUAACACAUGCAAGUCGAACGAUCCCUUCGGGGAUAGUGGCGCACGGGCGCGUAACGCGUGGGAACCUGCCCUUAGGUUCGGAAUAACUCAGAGAAAUUUGAGCUAAUACCGGAUAAUGUCUUCGGACCAAAGAUUUAUCGCCUUUGGAUGGGCCCGCGUUGGAUUAGCUAGUUGGUGGGGUAAAGGCCUACCAAGGCGACGAUCCAUAGCUGGUCUGAGAGGAUGAUCAGCCACACUGGGACUGAGACACGGCCCAGACUCCUACGGGAAGCAGCAGUGGGGAAUAUUGGACAAUGGGCGAAAGCCUGAUCCAGCAAUGCCGCGUGAGUGAUGAAGGCCUUAGGGUUGUAAAGCCCUUUUACCCGGGAUGAUAAUGACAGUACCGGGAGAAUAAGCCCCGGCUAACUCCGUG